CUCCACAGGCACGGGGCUUUCAUGUGGUUUCUUGGGUGUAACUGAAAGCAGCUUUUGGCCCAGGGGAAUGAAUAUUUUUUGCCUUUGUGUGUGCCCUGGUUUCUGUAGUCAUGGUGUGAAAUGCGUCUUCUGGAGAGCGAUGAUUUUCUUCUCAUCAAAACACGUGUCAGCAGCAUCCUCAGGGUCAGAACAGCAACUUUUGGAAGGAUUUCUUUCAUGACACCAUGGAUUAGGCACAUGAACUCCUGCUAACCUGUCCUGAACUCUGUGGUCUUGAGCCACUUCAGCAGUUUUGGUCACUCUGCCACAACCCCAAGAAAUGUUCUGAGUGCAAUUUAAACCUGGUGUUAAAGUCCUGGUGUUUGAUACUUACCUACUUCUUAGACUCUUUUCAAUUAUGUGCAUUAGUGGUCAAAACUGGGACACCACAGGAGAGCCAAACGUUCCUCCAGUCAAGGCUUUGCUUUAUAACCCAAGAAGAACUGAAAAGGAAGAAAAAGUGACAUAUUACAGUGACUAAGGCAGUCUUUCAGCACAAUCCAUCAUAACUCUUGUUCCUUAAACAUCUCCUCCUGUGGUGCUCACAGUGUAAACCUGAGCUUACCCUCCUGGAAGAAUAAAGUUUCUUUUAGCACGUGAAA